rnacentral:rRNA from 1 species
CACGUAGGGGGCGAGCGUUGUCCGGAUUUAUUGGGCGUAAAGAGCUCGUAGGCGGCUCGGUAAGUCGGGUGUGAAACCUCCAGGCUCAACCUGGAGACGCCACCUGAUACUGCUGUGGCUAGAGUCCGGUAGGGGAGUGUGGAACUCCUGGUGUAGCGGUGAAAUGCGCAGAUAUCAGGAAGAACACCAGCGGCGAAGGCGGCACUCUGGGCCGGAACUGACGCUGAGGAGCGAAAGCUAGGGGAGCAAACGGG